rnacentral:rRNA from 1 species
UACGUAGGUGGCGAGCGUUGUCCGGAUUUACUGGGCGUAAAGAGCGCGCAGGCGGCCACGUAAGUCGAAUGUGAAAGCCCCCGGCUUAACUGGGGAGGGUCAUUCGAUACUGCAUGGCUCGAAGACAGGAGAGGGAAGCGGAAUUCCCGGUGUAGUGGUGAAAUGCGCAGAUAUCAGGAGGAACACCGGUGGCGAAGGCGGAUCUCUGGGCCUGUCCUGACGCUGAGGCGCGAAAGCUAGGGGAGCGAACAGG